rnacentral:lncRNA from 1 species
AUGUGGGACAAGAAGCCGCCGGCGACGGCACACGGCGGCGAGAGCUUACCGGCGUCCACGCGCCCGUCGAACACGAGGAAGAGGAAGGACCGGGAAGACGAAGCAGAGGAAGUUGCCGCCGCCGCCGCCGCUCAGGAGGAGGAGGGGGCGGAUUCCGAGACGUCCGUGCAGAUACGGCGGGGCAAGGCGGUGGCGCGGCGGCGGAGCCUGGUCAGCCUGGGCAUGGCGGCGGUGGUGGGGGCGAUGGCGUGGGCGGCGGACGCG